AUGAUUCAGAAGGAAUUCAGCAGAGACAAGAGUGGGCGGAUGUGGUGGCCGCUGAAUGGCAGGAGAUAAUGGGUCCAAGGAUGCAGCGUUGGUUGAGCUAUCAGUGACUGAGGAAUGAUUAAUGAAACAUGUAAACAUUCCCCAGAGAAUUCCCAGAAAUACACAGAGAGCAGGACUUGGUAACAGACUUUCCUCUCUGAAGACAAGUAAACUGCAUAUUAAAGCGGACUGUGACCUCAUAGACUGAUGAAAUUUGAAACACUUAAGCUACAUAUGCUGCUUCUGGGUUAUGUGUUCUGUGUCAUAUCUUAGCUUCCUUUUUCAGACAAUACAUCUUUGAUGAUCGAAAACAACAACAACCUGGUAAAGUUCCUUGUAGUUCUAAGAGCCCAAUAGUCCAGAAUACAAGUCUCUAUUAUGUUCUUCUCUGGAUAAAAGAACCUGUGGACUUUAUAACAUAAUCCAAGAAUGAAAAAAAAAAAAAAAACCAAAACCUACCUUUAGGAACAAAAAGGGCACAUAGCAGGAAGCUGAAAUACAGAACGUCUUCUGAGAACACAGAGAACAUUUAGCAAAAAGUGGAAAAUCUGACAACACUGUACAGUCGCAGUCUUCCUCUCCAUAACAAUAAUUUUUUCUCCUCUCACUAAAAUAGAGCAAUUUUUAUUGUCACAAGCACAUGUGUAUUACUGGCAACAAGGAUAUAGCUGUAUAGGACACCUCCUUAAACAUCUUCUUUAUUUUAAAAUUCAGUUAGGGGGAAAUGACUAGUUUCCCAGCACUUUCUGGUUGCCAUGGAUACCUGUCAUCCACAUCCAGAGCCUGCAGGUUACACUCAGGGACUCUUGCCAGCUCAUGAAUAAUAUCGCUGAAGCCCGCUGCCGCUGCGAUAUGUACACAUGUCUUCCCACUCUCAUCAUCAUAGUUGAUUAUGGACGGCCCCUGGUGAUGGCUCAGAAUGAUGGAGCACAGAAUCCUAUUUCCACUCUGGAAAAGAGAGUCAAAGAAAGCCCAUUAUUUACAAUCCAGUGUUCUUCUCGAUCUAGGCAUGUUAAGAUAAAAAUACAAAGGAAAAAAAGAAAGAAAGAAAAAAGAUGAAAAGAGAAAAGGAAAUGGAAAAAAAAAGAAUAAAAAUACAUUCUAUCUAAGCUCUCCAACAAGUGUCCACUUGUCUCAAGUCACUGCAGAGAUUUUUGUCUCCCACAGGAGCUAAAUUGUCUUCCAUAACUAGUGAACGAAGGAUGCAUUGAAAUUAAAUACAGAGCAAGACUCCGUCUCAAAAAAAAAAAAAAAAAAAUGUAGUUUCUUAGAAGAGAAGAAAAAUGAUAUAGGCCAGAAACUCUGAUUUACAUAAAGAAAAGAAGAACGCUGAAGAAGGAAUAAGUGAAGGCCUCCUCAUUCCUUGAGACACAACAAUAUUGAAAUUAGGCCAACUAAUAACCCUACAAUGGUCUUUGAAUAUUCAAGUGAAAGGAAGAGUCACAAGUCUCUCACUUUAAAUCAAAAGCUAGAAAUGAUUAAGCUCAAUGAGGAAGGCAUGUUGAAAGCUAAAACAGACCAGAAACGAGUCCUCUUGUGUCAGUUAGUCAAGUUGUGAAUGCAAAGAAAAGUUCUUGAAGGAAAUUAAAAGUGCUACUCCAGUGAACACAUGAAUGGUAAGAAAGAGAAACAGCUUUAUUGCAGAUAUGGAGAAAGUUUUAGUGGCCUGGAUAAAAGACCAAUCUAGCCACCAUAUUUCCUUAAGCCAAAGCCUAAUCCAGAGGAAGCCCCUAACUUUCUUCAAGUCCAUGAAGUCUGAGAGAAAUGAGGAAGAUGAAAAAUAAAAGUUUGAAGCUAGCAAAGGUUGUUUCAUGAGGUUUAAGGAGAGAAGCCAUCUCUAUAACACAAAAAUGGAAGUGAAGCAGCAAGUGCUGUUGGAGAAGCUGCAACAAGUUAUCCAGCAGAUCUAGCUAAGGUCAUUGAUGAACGUGGCUAUAGUAAACAACAGAUUUUCAAUGUAGAUAAAACAGCCUUCUAUUGGGAGAAGAUGCCACCUAGGACUUUCAUAGCUGGAGAAGGGAUGUCACUACCCAGCUUCAAUGCUUCAAAGGACUCUUGUUAGGGGCUAAUGCAGCUGAUGACUUGGAGUUGAAGCCAGUGCUCAUUUACCAUUCCAAAACCUGAAGUCUCUUAACAAUUAUGUUAAAUCUACUCUGCCUCUGCUCUGUAAAUGGAAUAACAAAGCCUGGAUGAUAGCAAAUCUAUUUACAACAUGGUUUACUGAAUAUUUUAAGCCUACUAUUGAGACCUACUGGUCAGAAAGAAAAGUUCCUUUCAAAACAAUACUGACAAUACAUUGUCAAUGAGCAGUAAUAUUUUGAAAUGAAUCAUUUUUUCUAAGCAAGAGCUCUGAUAGAGAUGUACAAGGAGAUUAAUGUUGUUUUCAUGCCUGUAACACAGGAUCCAUUCUGCAGCCCAUGGAUCAAGGAGUAAUUUUGACUUUCAAGUUUUGUUAUUUAUGGUAUACAUUUUGCAAGGCUAUAGCCUCCAUAGAUAAUGAUUCCUCUGAUGGAUCUGGGCAAAGUAAAUUGAAAACCUUUGCUCUAUUAGUUUCUGCCAGAGAAAAUAAAAAAAAAUAGAAAAACUCUGGAAAGAAUUAACUAUUCAAGAUACCCUUAAAAACAUUCAUGAUUCGUGGCUCACGCCUGUAAUCCCAGCACUUUGGGAGGCCGAGGCAGGUGGAUCAUGAAGUCAGAAGAUUGAGACUGUCCUGGCUAACAUGGUGAAACCCCAUCUCUACUAAAAAUACAAAAAAAAUUAGCCGGGCGUGGUGGGGAGCACCUGUAGUCCCAGCUACUUGGGAGGCUGAGGCAGGAGAAUGGCGUGAACCCAGGCGGCAGAGCUUGCAGUGAGCCGAGAUUGUGCCACUGCACUCCAGCCUGGGUGACAGAGCGAGACUCCGUCUCAAAAAAAAAAAAAAAAAAUUUCAUGAUUCAGGUUUGGAAGAAGUUAAUUUAAACUCUCCAAACAGGAGUUUUGAAGAAGUCUUAGAGGAGUUCAAAACUUCAGUAGAGGAAGUAACUGCAGAUGUAGUGGAAAUAGCAAGAGAACUAGAGUUAGAAGUGAAGCCUGAAGAUAUGAUUAAAUUGCUGCAAUCUCAUGAUAAACCUUGAAUGGAUGAAGAGUUGCUUCUUAGGGAUGAGUAAAGGAAGUGAUUUCUUGAGAUCAUAUCUACUCCUGGUGAAGACGCUGUGAAUAUUGUUGAAAUGACAACAAAGGAUUUAGAAUAUUACAUAAAUUUAGUUGAUAAAGUAGUGGUACGGUUGGAGAGAAUUGACUCCAGUUUUGAAAGAAUUUCUACGGUGGGUAAAAUGCUAUCAAACCAUAUCACAUGUUACAUACAGAUACAUCUUUUAUGAAAGAAGGAGUCAAUUGAAGCAGCAAACUUUAUUUUUGUCUUAUUUUAAGAACUUGCCAUAGCUACCCCAACCUUCAGCAGCCACCACCCAGAUCAGUCGGCAGCCAUCAACAUCGAGGCAAGACCCUCUACCAGCAAAAAGAUGGCUGAAGGCUCAGAUGAUCGUUAGCUUUUCUUUAGCAAUAAAGUAUUUUUAAAAUAAGGUAUGCACAUUUUUAGACAAAAUGCUAUUGCAUACUUAAUAGAUUACAGUACAGCAUAAACCUAACUUUUACACGCACUGGGAAACCAAAAGUUUGUGUAACUCACUUUUUGCAAUAUUCACUUUGUUGCAGUGGUCUGGAAACAAACCCACUGUAUCCCCAAGGUAUACCUGUAUUAGGUCAAUAGACAAAAUUAAAAUGCAGAUGCUAGAUUAACAAAAAGCACACACACAUGUUGAGGGAGAGAGACACACACAGAGAGAGAGAGAGGGAGGGAAGGAGUGAGGGAGACAGAGACAGAAAGAGCAAAUGAUAAAGCAAACGGGGCAAAAUGUUAACGUUAGAUGAAUCUGAGUAAAAGGCAUACAAGUUUUUUUAUAUGAUUCUUAUUUUUACAACAUAUCUAUAAGUUUGAAAUUAUUUUUGAAAAAUUUAGGCCAGGCACAGUGACUCACAUCUGUAAUCCCAGCACUUUGGGAGGCUGAGGCGGGCGGAUCACCUGAGGUCAGGAGUUCGAGACCAGCCUGGCCAACAUGGCAAAAACCCGUCUCUACUAAAAAUACAAAAAUUAGCCAGGCAUGGUGGCAGGCACCUGUAAUCCCAGCUAUGUGGGAAGCUGGAGCAGGAGAAUCACUCAAACCCCGGAGAUGGAGGUUGCAGUGAGCAGAGAUCGUGCCACUGCACUCCAGCCUGGGGGAUAGAGCAAGACUCUGCCUCCAAAAAAAAGAUGGGGGAUAGAGCAAGACUCUGCCUCCAAAAAAAAAAAAAGAAAAAUUUAAAAUAAUUUGAAUACUAUUGAAUAUUAUAUGCAUGUAUCUUAAGUUCUGAGAGCACACUUAGAAAUGGAAGUACUUUUCAUGUAUACUGAAAUGACUUCCCUUCUUUUCCUCCCUCAAUAUACCUGAUAAAAUAAGAACAGGCUCAUUAAUGAGCAAGUGCCAUUCUUAGGUUUCACAAAGAGAAAACAAAGAGCCCUUAUUAAGUACACAAACCUACAUAUGGAUUGAAGGUAAAUAUUAGGGUAAAACCAUCAUGACUUUAAAAGAUAAAUCAGAAAAUCUGACAUGUAGAUCAUUCAUGAUAUAAGGGAAUUCUCAAACACAAUUCAGCAGACCCUGCAUUAAAUGACCAACAGAGAUUUACAAGUGCAUUAAUCAUGUGACUCCUGGUUAGUGGUCUUAGCCCCACCCAUAUGCCACCUUUUGCACCAACCUUUGACCUCAGUGCAUCCAUACCCUCACCUUCUCACGUUGUCCCACAUUUGGUGAUUAGUGAGAUGUUUGUCUCAUGCUUGUUUUGUAAUAAAAAAACGGCUACAA